UGAACGCUGGCGGCAGGCCUAACACAUGCAAGUCGAGCGGUAGCACAGAGAGCUUGCUCUCGGGUGACGAGCGGCGGACGGGUGAGUAAUGUCUGGGAAACUGCCUGAUGGAGGGGGAUAACUACUGGAAACGGUAGCUAAUACCGCAUAACGUCGCAAGACCAAAGUGGGGGACCUUCGGGCCUCAUGCCAUCAGAUGUGCCCAGAUGGGAUUAGCUAGUAGGUGGGGUAACGGCUCACCUAGGCGACGAUCCCUAGCUGGUCUGAGAGGAUGACCAGCCACACUGGAACUGAGACACGGUCCAGACUCCUACGGGAGGCAGCAGUGGGGAAUAUUGCACAAUGGGCGCAAGCCUGAUGCAGCCAUGCCGCGUGUGUGAAGAAGGCCUUCGGGUUGUAAAGCACUUUCAGCGGGGAGGAAGGCGGUAAGGUUAAUAACCUUGGCGAUUGACGUUACCCGCAGAAGAAGCACCGGCUAACUCCGUGCCAGCAGCCGCGGUAAUACGGAGGGUGCAAGCGUUAAUCGGAAUUACUGGGCGUAAAGCGCACGCAGGCGGUCUGUCAAGUCGGAUGUGAAAUCCCCGGGCUCAACCUGGGAACUGCAUUCGAAACUGGCAGGCUAGAGUCUUGUAGAGGGGGGUAGAAUUCCAGGUGUAGCGGUGAAAUGCGUAGAGAUCUGGAGGAAUACCGGUGGCGAAGGCGGCCCCCUGGACAAAGACUGACGCUCAGGUGCGAAAGCGUGGGGAGCAAACAGGAUUAGAUACCCUGGUAGUCCACGCCGUAAACGAUGUCGAUUUGGAGGUUGUGCCCUUGAGGCGUGGCUUCCGGAGCUAACGCGUUAAAUCGACCGCCUGGGGAGUACGGCCGCAAGGUUAAAACUCAAAUGAAUUGACGGGGGCCCGCACAAGCGGUGGAGCAUGUGGUUUAAUUCGAUGCAACGCGAAGAACCUUACCUGGUCUUGACAUCCACAGAACUUAGCAGAGAUGGUUUGGUGCCUUCGGGAACUGUGAGACAGGUGCUGCAUGGCUGUCGUCAGCUCGUGUUGUGAAAUGUUGGGUUAAGUCCCGCAACGAGCGCAACCCUUAUCCUUUGUUGCCAGCGGUUAGGCCGGGAACUCAAAGGAGACUGCCAGUGAUAAACUGGAGGAAGGUGGGGAUGACGUCAAGUCAUCAUGGCCCUUACGACCAGGGCUACACACGUGCUACAAUGGCAUAUACAAAGAGAAGCGACCUCGCGAGAGCAAGCGGACCUCAUAAAGUAUGUCGUAGUCCGGAUUGGAGUCUGCAACUCGACUCCAUGAAGUCGGAAUCGCUAGUAAUCGU
rnacentral:rRNA from 1 species